GUUUGAAUCUGGACCUUCCGGCUGUUUAGUCAUUUAAACCAAACAUAAACACUUUUUAAAAUCUUUGGAAUUAAACACUCAAAGAAUUACCCUCCCAGCGAGUUUGAUCAUUUUCAAGCUAAGAGACUUUCCGAUCGGUCCACGUAGAAGUCCGGGGAGCGCAGCCGGAUACUCCAGCCCUCGGGCACAGAAAGCAGGCUCAGCGCGGCGCAGAAGAAGCAUGAUGCUAUCAGGCCCAAGAAUUGGCCAGGAAAGGACUCGGUGCAGACAGGACCACUCAGAAAAACAGUAAGAUAAAUCCAGCUCAAUAAUAAAAGAUAUGGAUGGUUCCUGGGUCUCAAAACCCAAGCUCAACUUUUCACCUUGCACUUUUCUUCCUGGGGCAGAAACUUGCUCAGCAUAUCUCUUCCUAAAUUCCAAGACAGGCUGCUUGCUCUGUUCAGUCAAGACUGCCAACCCAAGAAACAUUUUCAAAAGAUCACAGUCAACAUCAUUGCCAAGAGAAGAAGUUCUUGGCACAUGAAAAACCUCGUUCAAUAUGAGAUGCCAGAUGGCGAUUUCAACUUCAGAUAAAUUCCUGCUGAAAAAGUGUUUGAACUGCAGAUGAGAAAAGCUUCUAUGACAAAUUUCCAAGUGUUAGAAGCUUCAGAGGGAAAUGGGCAAGUGUUGCUACCCCCUCCCAACCACAUGCACACAUACCAUGAAACUACUACUUGUAUCUGGUAGCUAAGAUUCCCACAAAGAUGCCUUUGCUUUUUAACAAGACCACAGACCCUGAUUUUAUUUUUACUAAUAUUAAAGAAUAGUAAGUGAGUCCAUUGAAAGCAAAUGCUAUUUGAUUAUGUGCAAUGCUCUUUCAAAACUUAGCACAUGCUGUGAGAUUUUUUUUUUUUAAUUUGGAGGUGACUUAUUCAGCCAAUUAACAAUCGGUGUGCCCCCUCUCUCCAUAAAAACACCAAAUUACAAGGGAUAUAUGUGAAGUAUAAAUCCAUGGUGCUCUGCCUGGAUGCCCUUGUGUCCCUGACUUGCUGGUACAGGAAGUGGAAAGCCCAGCAUCUCUGAUUCAAGUCUGCAAAGUGAGCUGUAGUUCCUAGUUCAUGCUCCAGAACUGCACUCAAGGAGCUUUUCCAGAGAUUGUGCCCUUGACUAGAUUCCUCUCUUCUGCUUUCUUUGUUUUACUCCUCCCCCUUCUUCCUCCAACACCCUCUCCUGCAGGUUUCUCCUGGGAGCAGCUCUUUAAUAAAAAUCUUGAGCACAAUCCUUAUCUCAGGGUCUGAUUUAGGGAACUGACCUAAAAUUCUGGGCAAUGGGAAAAAAUUCAGGGCAUUUAAUGCUAAUAAAGAUAAGGACUAUUGUUUCUGGAGCAAGAAAUGUAUACAUAUCUAUUUUAUCUGUCAAGGUCUCAGAAGGAAAGAGUAGAUUAAACUCAAAUUAGGUGUUUGGAGAAUAGCUAAUAAAGGGACUAAUUAAUUGCAAAGGUGUGGACUGGGUACAGGGAAACAAAUACUGUUCCUCCUAGAAGCUGCUGCCAUCACCAACCCUACGCCUCAUUUGCACAGGGAGAGCUGGUGACAGAGCCGUGUGGAGGAGGCUGUGUGACAGAAGCUGUGAUGUUAAGGGAUGCAGCCAGCCUACAGAGACUCUAUAGCUAGCAAGCUAAGUGAAUAAAUACCCCAACCUCAUGCUCCUUCCUCCCUCCUGUCUUUUGCAGUAACCCAUCAACUGAACGUAACAGGCCACCACGGGCAAAGGAACCCCAUAGUGUAAUACAUCUGGGUUGGUUUCUUAGGGCACAGGGCAGGUGGAGAAGGGCAAAGAAGGCAUCUGAAAGGACA